GCCAAGCUUAGUUGCGCGAGCUUGUAACCCAAGUGGGGGCAUUAAAGUGGUGAGGACGUUGCCGUAGUGUUGCGGGCCUGAUUUGGUUGUGAUAUUGCUGGCCCGCUCGUUUCAAGUUGUGUGGUGAUAGAGGCUAAGGUGUCUCGAUGUUUCGAUGAGAUGGUGGCUAUCGUUUUCUGUGGGAGUCGACCUUGACGAUCCGACUAGGAACGUGCGAGACGUCGCGCCUUAGCAAUCGCUAAACCAACUUCCGAGGGUUAUUGACCACGCCGGAGCACGAUCAACCUGACCACGAGGGUCUGUUUCCUGCAAGCAAACGAAGAACAA
rnacentral:SRP_RNA from 9 species